GACGAAGGAUCCAAGCGUUAUCCGGAUUCAUUGGGUUUAAAGGGUGCGUAGGCGGGUUUGUAAGUCAGUGGUGAAAUCCUAUCGCUUAACGAUGGAACUGCCAUUGAUACUGCGGACCUAGAAUAUAGAUGAUGUUGGCGGAAUAUGACAUGUAGCGGUGAAAUGCAUAGAUAUGUCAUAGAACACCGAUUGCGAAGGCAGCUGACAAAACUAUUAUUGACGCUGAUGCACGAAAGUGCGGGGAUCAAACAGG
rnacentral:rRNA from 1 species